UACGAAGGGUCCAAGCGUUAUCCGGAUUUACUGGGCGUAAAGAGCGCGCAGGCGGUCGAUCAAGUCGAGUGUGAAAGCCCCCGGCUCAACUGGGGAGGGUCAUUCGAUACUGAUCGACUCGAAGGCAGGAGAGGGUAGUGGAAUUCCCGGUGUAGUGGUGAAAUGCGUAGAUAUCGGGAGGAACACCAGUGGCGAAGGCGACUACCUGGCCUGUUCUUGACGCUGAGGCGCGAAAGCUAGGGGAGCAAACGGG
rnacentral:rRNA from 1 species